GUGGUUGUAGCUCAGCAAGUGAGAGCGCCUGGCUGUGAACCAGGAGGUCACGGGGGCAGAUCCCGUCAACCACC
rnacentral:tRNA from 1 species